ACUCAAAGGAAUUGACGGGGGCUCACACAAGCGGUGGAGCAUGUGGAUCAAUUCGAAGCAACGCGAAGAACCUUACCUGGGUUUGACAUGCACGGAUGCUCUCUUGGAAACAGGAGUAGGCUGCCUUCGGGUGAAACGUGCACAGGUGCUGCAUGGCUGUCGUCAGCUCGUGCUGUGAAGUGUCGGGUUAAGUCCCUUAACGAGCGAAACCCCUGUCGCUAGUUGCCAGCGGGUCAUGCCGGGAACUCUAGCGAGACUGCCGGCGUUAAGCCGGAGGAAGGUGGGGAUGACGUCAAGUCAUCAUGGCCUUUAUGCCCAGGGUGUCACACGUGCUACAAUGGGGUGUACAGAGCGACGCAAGACCGCGAGGUGGAGCAAAUCGCAGAAAACAUCCCUCAGUUCGGAUUGAGGUCUGCAACCCGACCUCAUGAAGCCGGAAUCGCUAGUAAUCGCGCAUCAGCCAUGGCGCGGUGAAUGAGUUCCUGAGCCUUGUACACACCGCCCGU
rnacentral:rRNA from 1 species